GAUGAACGCUGGCGGCGUGCCUAAUACAUGCAAGUCGAGCGAACAGAUGAGGAGCUUGCUCCUCUCACGUUAGCGGCGGACGGGUGAGUAACACGUGUAUAACCUCCCUAUAAUACUGGGAUAACUUCGGAACACCGGCUCUAAUACCGGAUAAUAUCUUGCACCGCAUGGUUCGUUAGUGAAUUUCGGUUUUGCGGUCACUUCUCGCUGGAUCCCCGCCGCAUUAGCUAGUUGGUAAGGUAACGGCUUACCAAGGGAACGAUGCGUAGCCGACCUGAGAGGGUGAUCGGCGACACUGGAACUGAGACACGGUCCAGACGCCUACGGGAGGCAGCAGUAGGGAAUCUGCCGCAAUGGGCGAAAGCCUGACGGAGCAAGGCCGCGUGAGUGAUGAAGGCGCUCGGAGCGUAAAACCGUGUUAUGAGGGAAGAACAGAUGUGGAAUUAACUAUGCACGUCGUGACGGUAACUAAUCAGAAAGCAACGGCUAACUACGUG
rnacentral:rRNA from 1 species